GCGAGUGGUGAAAUUGGUAUACACGNNACACGCCAGCCUUAGGAGCUGGUGGGCUUGCCCAUGGAGGUUCGAGUCCUCUCUCCGGCACCA
rnacentral:tRNA from 1 species